UGGGGAAUAUUGGACAAUGGGCGAAAGCCUGAUCCAGCCACGCCGCGUGAGURAUGAAGGCCUUAGGGUUGUAAAGCUCUGUCGUGAGGGAAGAAUAACUGACGGUACCUCACAAGAAAGCACCGGCUAACUCCGUGCCAGCAGCCGCGGUAAUACGGAGGGUGCAAGCGUUGCUCGGAAUUACUGGGCGUAAAGCGCACGCAGGCGGUUUGUCAGGUCGGAUGUGAAAGCCCGGGGCUCAACCCCGGAACUGCAUUCGAAACCGGCAGACUUGAGUUCGAGAGAGGGUGGUGGAAUUCCUGGUGUAGAGGUGAAAUUCGUUGAUAUCAGGAGGAACACCGGUGGCGAAGGCGACCACCUGGCUCGAUACUGACGCUCAUGUGCGAAAGCGUGGGGAGCAAACAGGAUUAGAUACCCUGGUAGUCCACGCCGUAAACGUUGAAUGCUAGGUGUCAGGGGUAUCACCCCCUUGGUGCCGGAGUUAACGCAUUAAGCAUUCCGCCUGGGGAGUACGGUCGCAAG
rnacentral:rRNA from 1 species